GCCAGCAGCCGCGGUAAUUCCAGCUCCAAUAGCGUAUAUUAACGUUGUUGCAGUUAAAAAGCUCGUAGUUGAAAUGAAGGGUAGUUGUGUAAUGAAUACAUUCGUGUAUUUUGUUAUUCUACUACCCUCCUUCUAAAUUCGAUAUAUGAGUAUUAAUUUACUUGUAUAUGGUUUUAGACGUUUACUGUGAGAAAAUUAGAGUGUUCAAAGCAGGCAUUUGCUUGAAUAUAUUAGCAUGGAAUAAUCAUGUAUGAUUUUCAUGAUGUAUUUGAUUGGUUUGGUUCAUGAGAAUAAGAUUAAAAGGGACAGUUGGGGGUAUUCAUAUUCAAUAGUCAGAGGUGAAAUUCUCGGAUUUAUGGAAGAUGAACAAGUGCGAAAGCAA
rnacentral:rRNA from 1 species